rnacentral:rRNA from 1 species
UGAGGAAUAUUGGUCAAUGGACGAGAGUCUGAACCAGCCAAGUAGCGUGCAGGAAGACGGCCCUAUGGGUUGUAAACUGCUUUUAUAAGGGAAUAAAGUUAGUCUCGUGAGACUUUUUGCAUGUACCUUAUGAAUAAGGACCGGCUAAUUCCGUGCCAGCAGCCGCGGUAAUACGGAAGGUCCGGGCGUUAUCCGGAUUUAUUGGGUUUAAAGGGAGCGUAGAUGGGUUGUUAAGUCAGUUGUGAAAGUUUGCGGCUCAACCGUAAAAUUGCAAUUGAUACUGGCAGUCUUGAGUACAGUUGAGGUAGGCGGAAUUCGUGGUGUAGCGGUGAAAUGCUUAGAUAUCACGAAGAACUCCGAUUGCGAAGGCAGCUUACUAACCUGUAACUGACAUUGAUGCUCGAAAGUGUGGGUAUCAAACAGGAUUAGAUACCCUGGUAGUCCACACGGUAAACGAUGAAUACUCGCUGUAGGCGAUAUACAGUCUGCGGCCAAGCGAAAGCAUUAAGUAUUCCACCUGGGGAGUACGCCGGCAACGGUGAAACUCAAAGGAAUUGACGGGGGCCCGCACAAGCGGAGGAACAUGUGGUUUAAUUCGAUGAUACGCGAGGAACCUUACCCGGGCUUAAAUUGCAACCGAAUAUGGCGGAAACGCUAUAGCUAGCAAUAGCGGUUGUGAAGGUGCUGCAUGGUUGUCGUCAGCUCGUGCCGUGAGGUGUCGGCUUAAGUGCCAUAACGAGCGCAACCCUUGCCGAUAGUUACUAACAGGUUAUGCUGAGGACUCUGUCGGGACUGCCAUCGUAAGAUGUGAGGAAGGUGGGGAUGACGUCAAAUCAGCACGGCCCUUACGUCCGGGGCUACACACGUGUUACAAUGGGGGGUACAGAGGGCUGCUACCACGCAAGUGGAUGCCAAUCCCAAAAACCUCUCUCAGUUCGGAUUGAAGUCUGCAACCCGACUUCAUGAAGCUGGAUUCGCUAGUAAUCGCGCAUCAGCCACGGCGCGGUGAAUACGUUCCC